CCCGCGUGGACACUGCUCCGCCCGCGCCCGCGCCCGACUCCUGCAGGGACCGCAGCGACCGCAGGGGGUCGCGCGGUCCGGCGCCCUGGAAGCUGGAUUUGCAGUCCUGAGCCGGCGAGGCUCCAGAGACUCAGCCUCCGAGGAGGCUGUCGAGGGAGCGCCAAGGGUGGGAGGCCCGGCUGCGGCCCAGUAAUCUGACACCGCACCCCACCCGCCGUCUCACAGGGCCGGGGAUUUAGCUCCAGACAGCCCCGGAAACAGCCACUUGGGCCUCAGCGGCUUCUGCCCCAAGGGAGUGGCAGAAAUGCCUUGCCUGGGAGGAGACUGUGGAGACCCAGCUCCAGCCCUGUCUCCUGGCUACGGCUUGGUCCAGCCUGUCUCAGACGACAAAGCGACUUCUGGCCUGUGCUGCCCAGGAGGAAAGACUCGGAAGGGGAGGCUGGUAGAGCAGGGCUCUG
rnacentral:lncRNA from 1 species